GCCUGGAUAGCUCACUUGGUUAGAGCAGGGUUCUGAUAAUGCCAAGGUUGCAGGUUCGAUCCCCAUAUGGGACA